CGCCGCAGCCCGGGCUGCUGCUCAUCCCCCUGCCGCUCUUCCUGCUGCGGCUGCAGAUUCUGCUGCUGCCGCUCAUCCCGCUGCUGCUCUUCCUGCUGCUGCUGCAGAUCCUGCUGCGCUCAUCCCGCUGCUGCGGCCGAUCCCGCAGCUGCUGCUGCAGAUCCCCAUCCUGCUGCUGCCGCUACUGCUGCAGAUCCCCAUCCUGCUGCAGAUCCCCAUUCCCAUCCUGCUGCAGAACCCGAUCCUGCUACGUAUCCCAGUCCUGCUGCAGAUCCCCAUCCCGCUGCUGCCGCUGCUGCUGUUGCUGUAGCUGCAGCUCCAUCGCCCGGAGUUUCCCAGCCUGGCCGCAGCCGGGGCAAUGCGGCAGGAGUCCCCGAGGUCACCGCGGCGAGGCUGAGCCUGGACGCCGAGGAAGGAAUAACAAGCCAAACCCGCUGGGGAUUUGCAAUGCAAGCGGCCUUUCCAAGUUUCUUUUCCACUUUGCUCUCACCCUGCCGUUGGAUUUGAGAUCAUGUCGGUUAAUAUUGUAGCUUUUGGGAAUGAAAGAGAUGGUUUUUCUGAGGACAAUCAGCAGCCCAGCCUGAUCUGGAGCUAUCUCGGGAGAAGUGCUCUCAUUUCCCAGAUCGACAGCAGCUUGUCUGCCAGUCAUGUUGGAAACCCAGUUUUUACUGAGUAUCAAGCCUGCGUAUUUGGAAAUGUCAGACUGGUGGUGCACGAUUGUCCUGUCUGGGAUAUAUUUGACAGUGACUGGUACACUUCCUGCAGGCUCAUUGGAGGAGCUGAUAUUAUUGUGAUUAAAUACUCUGUCAAUGACAAGACUUCAUUUCAAGAACUAAAGGACAGCUAUGUGCCAAUGGUGAAAAAAGCACUAAAUCACUGCUCAGUUCCAGUAAUAAUUUCUGCUAUUGGUGCAAGAAAAAACGGAGUGCCCUGCACCUGUCCCCUGUGCACUUCAGACAGGAGGAGCUGUGUCACAACCUCUGAAGGAGUCCAGCUUGCAAAGGAACUCGGAGCCACUUACCUUGAGCUGCACACCCUUAAUGACUUCUACAUCCAGAAAUACUUUGGAGGAGUGCUUGAAUAUUUUAUGAUCCAAAGUUUGAAUCAGAAGUCAUCUGAAAAAAUGAAGAAAAGGAAAAAGAUGCAGAAGUGCCGUCGAGUCCAACCACCUCAGCUUGAACAGCCAGAAAAGAUGCCCAUCCUAAAGGGUGAAGCCUCGCACUACAACGCAGACCUGCACAACCUGCUCUGCUGCUGCCAGUGUGCAGAUGUGGCCUUCUAUCCCGAGGACCUCAGCACGGUGGUGGAGGCUCACAAGAUCAUCCUGUGCUCUGUCAGCCACCUCUUCAUGCUGCUGUUUGGGGUGAAGAGCCCGUGCGACGCGCACGACGCCUCCGUGGCGCAGCUGGCUCAGAGCCUCUUCGCGGUGCAGGCCGGGGACCCCUUCCCCUCCUCGCCCCAGGGUGUCCCACCCUGUGUCCCACCAGUCAGGGUGGUGGUGAAGGACUCUGUCUUCUGCUCUUGUCUCCCAGAUAUCCUCCACUUCAUUUAUUCAGGUGCUUUCCAGUGGGAACGAUUAGAAGAGGACAUAAGAAAGAAGCUGAAGGAUCCAGAUAAAACAGAACAUGUGCUUGAGAAAGUUAAAUGCAUCCUGAAAACUCCAGGAAAGCUAAACACUGUAAAGGACUGCAAGUCUCACCAGAUAAAACGGCUCUAUAAUACUUCUCUCAGGCUAUUCUUUAACACACCUGUGCUGGCUGAUGUAAUCUUCAAAAUACAAGGUGCAACUGUUCCAGCCCACAGGGCAGUUCUGGUGGCUCGCUGUGAGGUUAUGGCAGCAAUGUUUAAUGGUAAUUAUCUAGAAGCAAAUAGCAUUCAGGUUCCAGUGUAUGGCGUUUCCAAAGACACUUUCCUGUCCUUCCUAGAGUACCUUUACACUGACUCCUGCUGCCCAGCCAGUAUUCUCCAGGCGAUGUCUCUGCUGAUCUGUGCAGAGAUGUACCAAGUAAUGAGACUCCAGCAUAUUUGUGAACUUUACAUCAUCACGCAGCUGCAGAGCAUGCCUAGCAGGGAACUGGCUUCCACAAGCCUCAGUAUUGUUAGCUUGCUCAAGAAAGCUAAGUUUCACAAUUCUGAUUGCCUUUCAACUUGGCUUCUUCAUUUUAUUGCCACUAACUACCUCAUCUUCAGUCAAAAGCCUGAAUUUCAAGAACUUUCAGGAUAUUCCAGCAGGAUGUUUCACCACCCUGGCGUGGGAUCAGCACACAGCAUGACACAGCCAGCAUUGUAUCACCAUUUUUAUGGGUCCUGUUGGGAUGGCCAGGUUUCCUACCCAUAACUGAAUUUGCUGGACCAGUUUGGUCAUUGUAUGUCAACCCCUUCAUAUUAUCAUGCUAAUUUAAAUCAAGUGGAAGAGCGCAAUUUUGUAGAGAUGCACCGAUGGCCUUCAAACUUGUACCUGAAGCAGCUUGCUGAUUACAGGAACUAUAUCCACUCUCAGAAAUGCCACUGCACAGUAAUGUAAAGAGACUGAGUGCAUACAAAGUACAUUUCAACUGCAAAAUUUCAGAUUGGGGAUUAUACCGAACAAAAAAACCAUGUCAAGAGUGAAACCUGAUGCUCACCUCCUCUGGAAAUUACAGACAUUCUUUGUUUUGCUAACAAAUCACUCUAAUUUUUACCUUGAAGCAUUGAGAAAUGUAUGUUGAAGAUUAAUUUUAAGCACAAUGACUUCAUAGUCAUGGGGAUUAAAUGUAUUACAGGACAGUGCCGUGACUGGCAUCUGCUCCUCUUUCUAA